rnacentral:rRNA from 1 species
UACAGAGGGUGCAAGCGUUGUUCGGAAUUAUUGGGCGUAAAGCGCGUGUAGGCGGCUUGGCAAGUCAGAUGUGAAAGCCCUCGGCUUAACCGAGGAAGUGCGUCUGAAACUGCUGAGCUUGAGUCUCGGAGAGGAUGGCGGAAUUCCGCAAGUAGAGGUGAAAUUCGUAGAUAUGCGGAGGAACACCGGUGGCGAAGGCGGCCAUCUGGACAACUACUAC